UACGGAGGGUGCAAGCGUUAUCCGGAUUCACUGGGUUUAAAGGGUGCGUAGGCGGGUUGAUAAGUCAGUGGUGAAAGCUCCGAGCUUAACUUGGAAACUGCCAUUGAUACUGUCAGUCUUGAAUGUCGUAGAGGUAAGCGGAAUGUUGCAUGUAGCGGUGAAAUGCUUAGAUAUGUUACAGAACACCAAUUGCGAAGGCAGCUUACUAUGCGAUAAUUGACGCUGAGGCACGAAAGCGUGGGGAGCGAACAGG
rnacentral:rRNA from 1 species